AUUUCAAUCGGUAAUAUUUCAAACGGAGAUUAGAGUUUAACCUUUUCCAAUAAAUGUUGGAGAGAUUUGUACAUCGAUCAGACAGAAUGGUCAGAGCGUUUUUAUUUUUGAAUGAACUGCUAGAAAGAGCCGAUUCGCUGAAAUGAACGGUAGGCGGUCCUUCUCUCUUAAGUAUCCCAGAAUUCCUCACAACGGUCGGUCACACGUGUGCAUUGCUUCUUGCACAAAGAAGAUCACACGAUCGGUUGGCGACAGAAUGAGCGGACGCAGUAUGUGUGUUAACUGUCCAUCUGAACCUCCUGACUGAAGACACUUUAGUUUCUACAAUGUAUUACCCAUGAAGACGCAAAUAGUUACUUCUGUGAGGCUACAGUUGUGCUGCAGAGUCCUUCUUUAGCUGUUACUUUGCUAAUGGCGGAGAAUGUAAGAACUACAGUCAUUAGAUUCCAUUGAUGGCUUCAUCUUGGGGCAAAUGUAUUCGAUGACUGACUGGUUGCUUGUUCCUCAGCUGUGAUGCAACUUGAGUAGAGCUAAUUUUGCCAAGUUUUGAAGAACAUCUUAAAUGAGUGGUUAUGUAUUGAUUGGAACCAAUAAAGAUGCUUGCCUGUAGUGACUCUGA